GGGUGUGAAGGCAAGCUGGCUGUGGUGUCCACCCAUGCCCACCACGCUUUCGUCGACUGGCCGGGCAACGCCCUUCCUCCCUCGCUGCUCCCCUGGGAGCCCGCUCAGCUGACAAGAAGGGCCUUCAACAAACGCAGGGCCAGUCUUCAGUGAGGGCAUAUGAGCAGCUGAGCCACUUGCUGGAGCCUCCAAACCAUCCUCAUUUUAAAACCUAAAGAUUUAACAGGAAAGGGGAGAGGAUGGUUUUCAGAUUGUGGGAUUUUGGUUUUU
rnacentral:sRNA from 1 species